rnacentral:tmRNA from 2 species
GGGGGUGUAAUGGCUUCGACAUGCAUUGGGUGAUACUAAUAUCAGUAGUUUGGCAGACUAUAAUGCAUCUAGGCUUUAUAAUCGCAAAAGAUGAAAAAGCAGAAGAAGUUAAUAUUUCUUCACUUAUGAUUGCACAAAACAUGCAAUCACAAUCAAACCUUGCUUUCGCUUAGUUAAUAGUGAUCAAGUGGUUUUAAAACUGAUAUUUCCCUAGGCUUUAAAAUCGGUUUUUUGGGAGACGGAAACUUGCAAGAGUUUCAAAAAUCUAUGUUGUUUGCAUUUCGGCAAUAUAGAUUAUUUAGAAAUGAUAAACUGUAAAAAGUAUUGGUAUUGACUUGGUGUGUGGACUCGGGUUCAACUCCCGACAUCUCCACCA